UGGGGAAUCUUCCGCAAUGGGCGCAAGCCUGACGGAGCAACGCCGCGUGAGUGAAGAAGGGUUUCGACUCGUAAAGCUCUGUUGUCGGGGACGAAUGUGGAGAUGGUGAAUAAUCAUUUUCAAUGACGGUACCUGACGAGGAAGCCACGGCUAACUACGUGCCAGCAGCCGCGGUAAUACGUAGGUGGCGAGCGUUGUCCGGAAUUAUUGGGCGUAAAGGGCAUGCAGGCGGUUCAUCAAGUAGGAUGUGAAAUCCCCGGGCUCAACCUGGGAACAGCAUACUAAACUGGUGGACUAGAGUAUUGCAGGGGGAGACGGAAUUCCAGGUGUAGCGGUGGAAUGCGUAGAUAUCUGGAAGAACACCAAAGGCGAAGGCAGUCUCCUGGGCAAAUACUGACGCUCAUAUGCGAAAGCGUGGGUAGCAAACAGGAUUAGAUACCCUGGUAGU
rnacentral:rRNA from 1 species